CAUUUUCUAGAAAUUAACUUUCCCUCCCUCUCCCUUUACUCCACCAAAGUGCUCUGUCCUCCCCUUACUAAUUAGCUAAACUGAUUCGUUCUCUCGGCUCUGUAGCUUACUCCAGUGCCCUAUUACUCUUUCUUGGGUUACCGUUCUUUGUGCUAGCAUCUAAAAAGAUGGGGGAAAUUCUGAAGGUAGACCUGACGGUGGCAGCGGUGAGUUUAGUUGGUCUGUUGUAUGUGGCUCUCAGGAGUAGUUUUAAGGUCCUGGUGCCUUUGUAAUUCCUUGCUCUAGGAGCAACCUUUUGCAAACUGUUAAACUUUCAGAAUUAGUUUUUGUUUAUGGCAUUGUGGUAUGUCUAAGUUUUCUUUCAAAAUACAUUCAUGGAUGACUGUAAUAGUAGAUUCUGAUAUGUAUACUGUUUAUCUGA